GCGUUGUUCGGAAUUACUUGGCGUAAAGCGCGCGUAGGCGGCUUUGUAAGUCAGAGGUGAAAGCCUGGAGCUCAACUCCAGAACUGCCUUUGAGACUGCAUCGCUAGAAUCGUGGAGAGGUGAGUGGAAUUCCGAGUGUAGAGGUGAAAUGCGUAGAUAUUCGGAAGAACACCAGUGGCGAAGGCGACUCACUGGACACGUAUUGACGCUGAGGUGCGAAAGCGAG
rnacentral:rRNA from 1 species